UGAAAUUUACUUUUUAGUAAGAAGGCUAAAAUAGAACUUUUAGACAAGAAGACCCUAUAAAACUUUAUAUUUCUAUUUCUUAAAAGAAAGAAGAAGUAUUUUACUGGGGCGGUAGAGAAAAGAGCUUUCUUUAAAAGAAGAAACGAACAAGUUUUUAUACCUAGAAGUUCUAAAAAAGAAAUAAGUUACUUUAGGGAUAACAGCUUAAUUUACUUAGAAAGAUCAAAUUGACAAGUAAGU
rnacentral:rRNA from 1 species